rnacentral:rRNA from 1 species
UAAGUGACUAAGCGUACACGGUGGAUGCCUGGGCAGUCAGAGGCGAUGAAGGACGUACUAACUUGACGAUAAGCGCAGAUAAGGCAGUAAGAGCCGUUUGAGUCUGCGAUUUCCGAAUGGGGAAACCCAACUGCAUAAGCAGUUACUGUUAACUGAAUACAUAGGUUAACAGAGCAAACCGGGGGAACUGAAACAUCUAAGUACCCCGAGGAGAAGAAAUCAACCGAGAUUCCGGUAGUAGCGGCGAGCGAACCUGGAUUAGCCCUUAAGCACUCGGUGAAGUAGGUGAACAAGCUGGAAAGCUUGGCGAUACAGGGUGAUAGCCCCGUAACCGACGCUUCAUCGAGCGUGAAAUCGAGUAGGGCGGGACACGUGAUAUCCUGUCUGAAUAUGGGGGGACCAUCCUCCAAGGCUAAAUACUCCUGACUGACCGAUAGUGAACCAGUACCGUGAGGGAAAGGCGAAAAGAACCCCUGUGAGGGGAGUGAAAUAGAACCUGAAACCGUGUACGUACAAGCAGUAGGAGCACCUUCGUGGUGUGACUGCGUACCUUUUGUAUAAUGGGUCAGCGACUUAUAUUCAGUGGCAAGGUUAACCGUAUAGGGGAGCCGUAGCGAAAGCGAGUCUUAACUGGGCGCUCAGUCUCUGGAUAUAGACCCGAAACCGGGUGAUCUAGCCAUGGGCAGGUUGAAGGUUGAGUAACAUCAACUGGAGGACCGAACCGACUAAAUGUUGAAAAAUUAGCGGAUGACUUGUGGCUAGGGGUGAAAGGCCAAUCAAACUCGGAGAUAGCUGGUUCUCCCCGAAAGCUAUUUAGGUAGCGCCUCGGACGAAUACUACUGGGGGUAGAGCACUGUUAAGGCUAGGGGGUCAUCCCGACUUACCAACCCUUUGCAAACUCCGAAUACCAGUAAGUACUAUCCGGGAGACACACGGCGGGUGCUAACGUCCGUCGUGGAGAGGGAAACAACCCAGACCGCCAGCUAAGGUCCCAAAGUAUUGCUAAGUGGGAAACGAUGUGGGAAGGCUCAGACAGCUAGGAUGUUGGCUUAGAAGCAGCCAUCAUUUAAAGAAAGCGUAAUAGCUCACUAGUCGAGUCGGCCUGCGCGGAAGAUGUAACGGGGCUAAGCAAUACACCGAAGCUGCGGCAAUAUCUUUUAGAUAUUGGGUAGGGGAGCGUUCUGUAAGCCGUUGAAGGUGAAUCGUAAGGUUUGCUGGAGGUAUCAGAAGUGCGAAUGCUGACAUGAGUAACGACAAAGGGGGUGAAAAACCUCCUCGCCGGAAGACCAAGGGUUCCUGUCCAACGUUAAUCGGGGCAGGGUGAGUCGACCCCUAAGGUGAGGCCGAAAGGCGUAAUCGAUGGGAAACGGGUUAAUAUUCCCGUACUUCUGACUAUUGCGAUGGGGGGACGGAGAAGGCUAGGUGGGCCAGGCGACGGUUGUCCUGGUUCAAGUGCGUAGGCUUGAGAGUUAGGUAAAUCCGGCUCUCUCUAAGGCUGAGACACUACGUCGAGCUGCUACGGCAGUGAAGUCAUUGAUGCCAUGCUUCCAGGAAAAGCCUCUAAGCUUCAGAUAGUCAGGAAUCGUACCCCAAACCGACACAGGUGGUCGGGUAGAGAAUACCAAGGCGCUUGAGAGAACUCGGGUGAAGGAACUAGGCAAAAUGGUACCGUAACUUCGGGAGAAGGUACGCUCUUGAUGGUGAAGUCCCUCGCGGAUGGAGCUGACGAGAGUCGCAGAUACCAGGUGGCUGCAACUGUUUAUUAAAAACACAGCACUGUGCAAAAUCGCAAGAUGACGUAUACGGUGUGACGCCUGCCCGGUGCCGGAAGGUUAAUUGAUGGGGUUAGCGCAAGCGAAGCUCUUGAUCGAAGCCCCGGUAAACGGCGGCCGUAACUAUAACGGUCCUAAGGUAGCGAAAUUCCUUGUCGGGUAAGUUCCGACCUGCACGAAUGGCGUAAUGAUGGCCACGCUGUCUCCACCCGAGACUCAGUGAAAUUGAAAUCGCUGUGAAGAUGCAGUGUACCCGCGGCUAGACGGAAAGACCCCGUGAACCUUUACUACAGCUUGGCACUGAACAUUGAACCUACAUGUGUAGGAUAGGUGGGAGGCUAUGAAGACGUGACGCCAGUUGCGUUGGAGCCGUCCUUGAAAUACCACCCUUGUAUGUUUGAUGUUCUAACUUAGACCCAUUAUCUGGGUUGAGGACAGUGCCUGGUGGGUAGUUUGACUGGGGCGGUCUCCUCCCAAAGAGUAACGGAGGAGCACGAAGGUGGGCUAAUCACGGUUGGACAUCGUGAGGUUAGUGCAAUGGCAUAAGCCCGCUUAACUGCGAGAAUGACGGUUCGAGCAGGUGCGAAAGCAGGUCAUAGUGAUCCGGUGGUUCUGUAUGGAAGGGCCAUCGCUCAACGGAUAAAAGGUACUCCGGGGAUAACAGGCUGAUACCGCCCAAGAGUUCAUAUCGACGGCGGUGUUUGGCACCUCGAUGUCGGCUCAUCACAUCCUGGGGCUGAAGUCGGUCCCAAGGGUAUGGCUGUUCGCCAUUUAAAGUGGUACGCGAGCUGGGUUUAGAACGUCGUGAGACAGUUCGGUCCCUAUCUGCCGUGGGCGUUGGAAGAUUGAAGGGGGCUGCUCCUAGUACGAGAGGACCGGAGUGGACGAACCUCUGGUGUUCGGGUUGUGUCGCCAGACGCAUUGCCCGGUAGCUAAGUUCGGAAUUGAUAAGCGCUGAAGGCAUCUAAGCGCGAAGCGAGCCCUGAGAUGAGUCUUCCCUGACAGUUUAACUGUUCUAAAGGGUUGUUCGAGACUAGAACGUUGAUAGGCAGGGUGUGUAAGCGUUGUGAGGCGUUGAGCUAACCUGUACUAAUUGCCCGUGAGGCUUAACCA